rnacentral:rRNA from 1 species
GAUGAACGCUGGCGGCGUGCCUAAUACAUGCAAGUCGAGCGAACGGACGAGAAGCUUGCUUCUCUGAUGUUAGCGGCGGACGGGUGAGUAACACGUGGAUAACCUACCUAUAAGACUGGGAUAACUUCGGGAAACCGGAGCUAAUACCGGAUAGUAUUUUGAACCGCAUGGUUCAAAAGUGAAAGACGGUCUUGCUGUCACUUAUAGAUGGAUCCGCGCUGCAUUAGCUAGUUGGUAAGGUAACGGCUUACCAAGGCAACGAUGCAUGGCCGACCUGAGAGGGUGAUCGGCCACACUGGAACUGAGACACGGUCCAGACUCCUACGGGAGGCAGCAGUAGGGAAUCUUCCGCAAUGGGCGAAAGCCUGACGGAGCAACGCCGCGUGAGUGAUGAAGGUCUUCGGAUCGUAAAACUCUGUUAUUAGGGAAGAACAUAUGUGUAAGUAACUGUGCACAUCUUGACGGUACCUAAUCAGAAAGCCACGGCUAACUACGUGCCAGCAGCCGCGGUAAUACGUAGGUGGCAAGCGUUAUCCGGAAUUAUUGGGCGUAAAGCGCGCGUAGGCGGUUUUUUAAGUCUGAUGUGAAAGCCCACGGCUCAACCGUGGAGGGUCAUUGGAAACUGGAAAACUUGAGUGCAGAAGAGGAAAGUGGAAUUCCAUGUGUAGCGGUGAAAUGCGCAGAGAUAUGGAGGAACACCAGUGGCGAAGGCGACUUUCUGGUCUGUAACUGACGCUGAUGUGCGAAAGCGUGGGGAUCAAACAGGAUUAGAUACCCUGGUAGUCCACGCCGUAAACGAUGAGUGCUAAGUGUUAGGGGGUUUCCGCCCCUUAGUGCUGCAGCUAACGCAUUAAGCACUCCGCCUGGGGAGUACGACCGCAAGGUUGAAACUCAAAGGAAUUGACGGGGGCCCGCACAAGCGGUGGAGCAUGUGGUUUAAUUCGAAGCAACGCGAAGAACCUUACCAAAUCUUGACAUCCUUUGACAACUCUAGAGAUAGAGCCUUCCCCUUCGGGGGACAAAGUGACAGGUGGUGCAUGGUUGUCGUCAGCUCGUGUCGUGAGAUGUUGGGUUAAGUCCCGCAACGAGCGCAACCCUUAAGCUUAGUUGCCAUCAUUAAGUUGGGCACUCUAAGUUGACUGCCGGUGACAAACCGGAGGAAGGUGGGGAUGACGUCAAAUCAUCAUGCCCCUUAUGAUUUGGGCUACACACGUGCUACAAUGGACAAUACAAAGGGCAGCGAAACCGCGAGGUCAAGCAAAUCCCAUAAAGUUGUUCUCAGUUCGGAUUGUAGUCUGCAACUCGACUACAUGAAGCUGGAAUCGCUAGUAAUCGUAGAUCAGCAUGCUACGGUGAAUACGUUCCCGGGUCU